UGGCUUCGACUUAAAAUUAGACUUUACCUCACUUUAUUCUAGAUCAGCUCCCCGAUCUGGCUUGCACAAGAAGUGCAAGCAGCUGGGACCACUGCUUUCAGAAGGCGGCCAGAUUUAUGUCGGAUCAAUGUCACUACGUAAGCAUAGCCUAAUGGAAAGGGUCAGUAUUUCAAGUGUUUGAUUCAGUAUUAUGAACACAUUAUAGAAUUGUUGGGGGGAUCGAAAUAUAUUAUUUUGUUAGUGGUUUAACAACAAUUUGUUCCUUAACAUUUCUUAUUUACACUAAACCAGGAAAAGAUGGGAGUUCCCUACUUUGCAUCAAGUUCAAACGCAGAAUUGUGAGUGGGAAAACGGAAGUUACUACAACCCUUUCAAAUGGGGAGGGGGGUGAUGGUGCGCACAGGGGAAGGAAAAAGCACUAUAAACUGAUGCAAUCUAUUAUUAAAGAAUUUGGACUAUCCCAUAAGAAAAUACCUUUCAAUCUAGAUUCUAACAAGUUAGUUAAAUAUAUUGUUACCUUUCUCUUCCUUCCUCUUCUAGCGACUUCAGGAAUGCAUAUAUCAUUUGUUUUCAUCACAUCCUAUGACGAUAAGAAAAAAAUAAAGUGUCUUAGCAAACUUAAGAUAUAGUUUAAAUGAUCAAGAAUUUAUCAGGGAAAUCACGUAACUGAAGCUUCUGACAUGCGACAGGGAAAAAAAAAAAUCAUCACAUCAAGACGCUUUCUGUUAGUUAAUAUCAUUGCAUUAAAAUUUGCUCUCUGAUGAUCUCUCUAAUUCCCAUUAGCUUCAGUGAGCAGUAUAAAUAUAUCUGAAUACAUAUGAAACUUUGCAUUUUAAGCCACUCCCGAGACAGUCACAGUGCCAGCAACUGUAGCUUCUCAGUGUUUGAAUAUACCGGCACAAGUCAAAGUACACAGUAUUAAAGUUAACUUCUUUAGGUUAAAAAGAGCAACAUUCCACGUACUUUGCUACUGAGUUUUUCAAACGGGACAUCAUCCAGUUUGACAGUAUCCAUCUCUUUGUCUUCUGUAGGUAAAUUAUUAUCCUGUUUACUUGAUGACUGAAAAUGGAAAAAUUAACGUGGAGUUAGUUCAUUUAUAGAAAAACAGAAGUGAAAAAGAAGAGCUCAACUAUCAGACUGCUUUGUACUUUUGAUUUAAAAAGUUUAUGGCUGUAUAUGCACAUUGCUUCGUUAGACAGAUAUCAAUAACCCCAAAUCAAACAUGUCCAUUUUCACAUGUGUACCUCUUGCUCUCUACAUUUUUUUCAUAUUUAAAAACAGUUGUCAAAACGGGUCAAAAUUAUUGCAACAUACCAUGACAGAACUAAAAAAAAAAAAUGACACCAGCACUUAUUUUAUUAGCCAGGAUGCGGUUAGCCUUUUUGGCCACCUGGGCACACUGCUGGCUCAUAUUCAACUGGCUGUCAAUCAGCACUCCUAGAUUCCCUUUCUGCCAGGCAGCUUUCCAGCCACUCUUCCCCAAGCCUGUAGCGCUGCCUGGGGUUGUUAUGACCCAAGUGCAGGACCCAGCAAUUGGCCUUGUUAAACCUCAGACAAUUGGACUCAGCCCAACGAUCCAGCUGGUCCAGACCCCUCUGUAUGGCCUUCGUACCCUCCAGCAGAUCAACACUCCCACCCAAUUUGGUGUCAUCUACAAACUUAUUAAGGGCGGACUCAAUCCCCUCAUCCAGAUCAUUGAUCAAGAGAAAUAAACAGAACUGGCCCCAAUACUGAGCCCUGGGGAACACCACUCGUGACCGGCCACCAACUGGAUUUGGCUCCCUUCACCACAACUCUUUGGGCCUGGCCCUCCAGCCAGUUCUUUAUCCAUCUCAGAGUACACCCAUCCAGGCCGUGAGCUGCCAGCUUCUCCAGGAGAAUGCUGUGGGAUACGGUGUCAAAGGCUUUACUGAAGUCUAAGUACACAACAUCCAGAGCCUUUCCCUCAUCUACUAGGUGGGUCACCUUGUCAUAGAAGGGGAUCAGGCUGGUAUAGCAACUGAAAACUGACAAAGUUGUGGGUACAGGUAGUCUCGUGCAUACCUUUCCCACUAUACGCAAUUGGACUUUAUUCAAUAAAUAUGACAGCCUGAGUGAUCCUACUUUGAGCCCUCUCUGCUAAAUAAGUUGGCUGUAUGGUGAUGGUUUUACUACUCACAGGUCAGUGGAUGAGCCCAAUUUAAGUUUCAUAUUAAUCAUUUAGCUGAAGUAAAUGCAUACUGAAUAGAAUGAAUCAUCUAGAAGUAUAAAGUUGUGUGAUUUUUAAUAUACUCCCUGCUUCAUGUUACUUAGUAAGCUGGAUUUGCUGAAAUCUUAAGCUGUGAAGUUCUGCUCAUAGUUACCAAAAGCAACUACAAACUAGAAACUACACUUGCAAGAUAAGGCCUGUUUUGCAGUUUGCUGAGAAGGAAAGGAUUUAUUCAGACAAAACAGCACCUGCAAGGCUGUGGACUAUAAAGAAUAUCUACAGCUAAACAAAACAAAGGCACAUAUGAGAUCGGUGAAAAAGAUCCAACGAGAAGCAAGAUGACCCCAAACUGAAAUAUCGCUAUUGGACUGAAUCAUGGUAUGAAUGGUCUGUAAAGAUAUAAAAGUCUAUGGUUUUCUAUGGCACCUGGCCUGCCAGGAACAAAUACGACGCACCUGUCUCAAAAGGGGAAAAGAAUCCUGGGGCAGGAGUUAGUAGGACUCAUUGAGAAGGCUUUAAACUAUAUUUGAAGGGGGAAGGGGAGGAAACCAGGUGUGGCAGAGGCAUAUCCAAGGGCACAUAUGAGAUCAGUGACCCUUAUUCAUAUAGACUUAUUUUAUUACUAAUUGCUGAUUUUAGGUAUCAUUAAUCACUUCUCUUUUCUUGGGGGUUUGCGUUCACUAGGUUUUAACCCUCAUUAAAAUAUAAUCUUGAUCAUUUACUUCCAAAUUGCUUUUUCUAUGGCUCUCUUUACACAUCCUAAAAUCAUGAUAAACACAAUUAUUAAGACUAAAAUAAUUGUUCCUGUUUGCACUGAUGAUGCUAACCACCUUGCACCUCAUUUGAGAUAAUAUCUUAUUAAUCCACAUGCUUUCUAUAUUUUGUCUAUGGUCCUGUCAUUGUUUCGCUACCUCUUUGAUAACCCCAACUUGAUCAUUUAAAUUUUUCAUCACAUUUGGUAUGUGGAUACAACAGCGAUCAUGGUCCAAUUUCAGGAAACUGCAAACCCCAUGUUCUUUUAAUAGUUACAAAUCUAAGGCCUACCUAUUAUGCAAGGUAACUUCCGUGUUGGCUUGAAUUUGUCUAAUUGUUUUACACUCCGGGCAGUUGUCUUGGCUAAGACCUCCAUUUGUUGUGUCAAAUUAUCUAUCACAUAUCUGUUUUCUAGAGCACAGUCUAUGUAGUUAACAGUCUUGAGAUACGUAUUAAAGCAAGACUCAACUAAUUGUGCGGACCUCAAAAUGUCUAAGCUGCAAGGUCAGUAGUGUCUAUAGUUUGUGAUUAAGUGUUUUGCAAGCCAUUCUUAUCUUUGUUGUGUGACCACUAAAACCUCAAGGAUUUAUAUAUCUGUAGGUUAGCAAUUGCAGACAGGAUUCGCUCAUUCUUUCAAGUGAUGACAACAAUUCAUCUAUAUAUAUUGAAUGUCUCACCUUUUCUAAACUCUUUUAGUGACUGCAGCACAACAUUUCAUCACACAUUGCAACAAAACAUGCAAACAUACAAAUAUAGCAAUUGCUAAUACAAUAAUGACAAUCAAUUUCUUAAUUCAUUUCUGUAAAUCAGGAAUCCACGACAUCAAUCAUGUCCAAACUUCUUGAAAUCUGUAAGAGGUAUUGCUUUUUGUACCUCAUGCAAGACUGCAGUAUGUUUCCAAAUCUCCUCUAACUCAGUCAUGAUUCUUUUCGAUUGAUCAACUUUCGAAUGAAGUGUUUUCCCAAGAUAUAUUAAUAGGGAGAGGCAUUUCUAAUAUAAGAACUCCUUUACUUGAAUUCUCUAGGUAAUAUGUGCAUACUCAGCAAUUGGUCUUGUCAGCUAUCUGCAUGGUUUUCCGGAUCAUCAUAAAAUGUACAUUUUGGGUCCAUGGAUUCUCCUGAUUUAACAGUGAACUUGCUGUACCAUAUAACAGGCAAAGACUUAUGUAACUGUAAUACACGUUUAAACAGAUAUCUACAAAGAAAACAGACUAAUAUUAACGCUACAAUCAAACCUCCUUGAAGACAAUCAAAUUCUGUAUAAGAUUCUAUUUCAGUCUGAGUGCAGUUCAUUAUGUUUCCCUAAGUUUCAGUGUUAAAGGAGUGGUUUCUGAUUUCUACUCAGUCUCUGUUCUUUUAUUUAUUCUAGUGUGGUAAAUCCAGAAACUGACUCCUUUAUGUUUCACAGCUGUGUUAGUUACCAGCAGUACCGUACAGAGUCUUCUCUACCACUCUUUCAAAGUUUGUCCUUUCAGGUCCAAGGACAGACUGGAUCUCCAGGUCAGAAGGAAGAUACAUACAGUCACAUCCAAUGCCACAGGUGCUUUCUCCUGGAUAUACCUAUGUAAUGAUGAGAAAGUUUUUCCCAAAGACAACAUUUAUUCGAUGAGCAUUUGGGUCCCCAAAAUAUGCAUUUAGAUCAGUUUCUCCUGUCAAGUUUACUGAAUAGGAUCUCCCAUAUAAUAUUUCAAAAGGGCUUAUUUUUUCUCUUAUUCUUUAAGUAAUGUGAAUUCUCAGAAAAAUAAUUAGCAACACACCUAUCCAUUUUAAAUGAGUUCCCUGUCACAAUUUAGCUAAUUGCCUUUUUAUAGAUUGAUUCAUUCAUUCUUUCUAGCUUUCCACUAGAUUGAGAUCUCUAAGGGGCAUGCAAGUCCCAUCUUACCCCCAGAAGAGUAAAAAUAGUCCGUAUUAUUUCUGCUAUAAAAUGUGGAACAGCCAAACCUUGGUAUGAUUUUAUUCAAUAAUUUCUUUGCUACUUCUCUAGCUUUGUUGGUCUGGCAUGGGAAAGCUUCAGGCCAUCUAGAAAAUUCAGAAAGAUUAAUUUACCAAUAUAAUCCCGAUACAGGGAAUUGACAAUUAACUGAUUAACACUUAAAGAACUAACACUUGACACUUAGAGAACUAACCCUUAGCCCACAUCACUAGACUUAAAGAGCCAACAGAGAGCUAACCCUUUAACCCGCAUAGCCUUGCUUAGCUUUGUGUAACUUAUUGUACGAGAAACAGGAGUUCGCUGAUGCCUUGCAAAGAUAAUAAUCCUUGGGUGCAUCCUUGAGUGAACUAGAUAACAGAAACUUGGGCACAGGACAGAAGAUAUGCCAGUUUUAACCAACUCAGCAGUCUGAGUCCUAACCAACUCAUCACACUAGACCAAAGGUGACCGUGUACAGAGAAGAGGACCCGGGUUCAAGAUCACUGCACAGCUGCAACCAGGAGGAGCCAGAGGUGGAGACUAUGGAAAUGGUCUCCCGGAACUCAUUGUAAUAACUGCUUUCUCGGGGACAGGUUAUGAAUAUGUAUAGGCAUUCCUAAUACUUUCAUGAAUAUGUAACACUUUACUGUAUUUAACCAAGCUCACAACUACUGUAAAAACACACAUCUUGGGCGGAGCUAUCCCCUGUGCGUCCGGCGUCAUAAAUACAUACCUUCUUUACAAUCUCAAGGGUUGUAAGGUCAUUUCCACGCCUCAAUCCCAUAAAAUUCCCUCUCUUUUACCUCUCCAGAUGGGAGCUUAAAGCCUAUCUUACAACUUUGCAUUUUAGGUCCAAUUGCAUAUCUUUUAACAUUUGUCCAAUUUGGUGAGCCUUUUUAGGUUUUAGAAGAGCUUCUAAUAGCUUCAACAUUUCUUGCUCAUGUUUGAUAGGUGACACUCGUGAAGUCAGAAGUCCUCUUUCUUUACAUAUUGUCCCAUGUGCCUCUGUACAAUUCCAAAAGCAUAUUUAGAGUCUGUAUAUAUUAACUCGCUUAUCUUGUGGCUUAGGUUCCAGUCAAAACAACAAGGUCAGCUUUCUGUGCUGAGGUAUUUGAUGGCAACGGUUGUGUUUCUGUUAUGUUGUCUAAAGUUCGGCUUUUUGCCAUCUUGCCGUUUUGCAGAGGUUUUGCAGAAGGCACAUAUGAGAUCGGUGAAAAAGAUCCAAUGAGAAGCAAGAUGACCCCAAACUGAAAAAUCGCCAUUGGACUGAAUCGUGGUAUGAAUGGUCUGUAAAGAUAUAAAAGUCUAUGGUUUUCUAUGCUCGGGUUGGACCUCUGUGCAGGUACCCAGCUUGAGUCAGCCCUCCUGGUAUUCUACUCCAUUAAUUAUUUUUUUUUCUGAGAAUUUUGUUUCCUGAAAGUCUGCUCUGCAUACAAUUAUCACACCUCGCCUGAAAGUUUGCCUUCAGAGCUCUAAAAUACAGACUCUGGAGCAAACGGUUAUCAGGGAGGGAAGAAUCCUGAAAGUUUGCACUGCAUGGGAUACAGGCCUCGCCUGAAAGUCUGCCUCCGGAGCUCCAAGUCACAGCCUUUGGAGUGAACGGUUAUUAGGGAGGGAACGGGUACAGGCACCUGGAGAGAAGGGAUCCACCUUCUUCAAUACAGUCUCGAGAUUUCUGUCAGUCCUUUCUGGAGUCCCUACUGACGAUCCACGGAACCGUUGAAAUCAACAGGGCCUUCGGCAUCAGGGACCCCCAAGAUGAUGACUUCGACUCCCAUGUGAGCCCCCAAAUUUAACCAAAGUAAGGCGAUCGAAACUGGCUACACAGCAGUCAACCUCACAUGAUGCAAGACACACCGUGAGAGCCUUCAACAUGAGUGAAAAGUUACACCCGGAAGCUGUGGACCAGAAAUGGACUAUAAGAACCAGAGAACUGAAUUAGCUGUGUGCGCGUGCCGCAAGGGAGACUGAGGUCUCUAGGCCGCACCCAGCGCUGUCUUUGCUUAUUGCUUGAUUAAAAAUAAAACUUUUGUUACUUACAAGACUAAGUCGAAAUUUAUUACAAUUUGGUGCUGUGACUCGGAUGAAGGAUAUUCGGUGGCGAUCCUUUUUGAGGGAGGCGCCCCGCUUCUUUUUCUUAGGGCCCUUGGAGGAUUUUGCCGCCAUCCUUCACCGACGAACCUUCUAAAUUGCAAUAAGCAAAGUAAACGCCGGCAGCCCCUUAAACUUUGUGCACGAAGACCCGAGUGAAGACGCAGGAUGCGUGAGUAUAGGCUGGAUGUCCACUCGGGUUGGGGCUGGGAUUCCUGGGGUACGACGACUGAGACGUCCAAUUGCGGGCGAAGCGAGUGCGGACCCUCCAGUAGUGCAGUUCUCGUAGCCCGCGAGGGAGUGAGUCACGAAUGAGGGGAGCACGUGUGAGUGUGUGUGAGUGUACCCUGGAAGAUGGGACAGAAGAAAAGCAGGCCUUCUGGUCCCAUGGGUGGGGAGCAAGCGAAACUCCCAGGACAGUCCAUUAGGAUUAAUGAUUAAAUAUUGGGAUGAUUACCCCUCUAGACGGGGUAAGAGUAAAAUAAAAAUGAUACACUAUUGCAUGGAGGUUUGGGGUGGUAAGGAAAUUCAUAAGGACCAUUUGUUUUGGCCAGUAUUUGGGUCCUUUGAGGACUGGAUUUGCCAAGCCUUGAAUCUUUAUGUUAACUCAAAAGAACCAUUUAGUCAAGAGGAGAGUGAUUAUGCGCGCUUAUGGAUAGGGUCAGAAACUAGGAUCAACUUGUAUCCGUUAAAAGAAAAGGGGGAUGAGAAGCACGAUAAACGAAGAAAUAAGCGGCAUGAGGAAGAGAUUCCCGUAACUCCCCCACCUUAUGUGCCGUCACCAUUACCCCUGGUGCCGGCCCCUAGCCCAAAUGCUCCACCACUAGUACCGAACCUGGAGGAAGCGGACCGUAGUCAACCCACAGGACCCGUCACCCGUAGUAAAACUAGACAGCAGCAGUAUCAGGUGACGGGACAUUUAUAUCCGUUGCGAGAAAUUGCAAUGGGAGGACCACAGGCGGGAAUGGGAUAUGUGGCGGUGCCCCCCAAUUCUGGAGACGUUAGAGAUUUUAAAAAGGAAAUGGGGAGUCUUUUAGAAGACCCGCUGGGAGUAGCAGAGCGGGUUGACCAAUUUUUAGGGCCCAACGUAUACACUUGGGAUGAGUUACAAUCGAUAAUAGGAAUAUUGUUCAUUGCAGAAGAGAGGGGAAUGAUCCGUAGAGCCAGUAUGCGAAUCUGGGAUGAACAGCAUCAACAGGGUCCUGCAGCUGACACUAAAUGGCCGUUGCAAAGGCCCGACUGGAAUAACCAGGACCCAUUACACAGGGGUCACAUGCAAGAUCUGCGGACUAUAUUAGUCCAGGGUAUUAGAGAAUUUGUACCGAGAGGGCAGAACAUUGGAAAGGUGUUUAGUGAACACCAGAAAAAAAGAUGAAACGCCCACAGAAUGGCUAGAAUGGCUUAGAAAGAAUUUACAGUUAUACUCGGGAUUAGAUCCCAGUACCCCUGUAGGGGAAGCGUUGUUAAAAAAGCAAUUUGUAGCAAAAACCUGGACAGAUAUUCGGAAGAAACUGGAAAAACUUGAGGAUUGGCAAAAUCGUGGAUUAGAUGAACUACUAAGGGAAGCUCAGAAAGUGUAUGUCAGGAGAGAGGAUGAAAAAGAGCGGAGGACUGUACGAAUGAUGGUUGCAGCAGUCAGAGAAGGUACAGCUCAGAAAUUCAAAGAUCGAAGGGCAGAGUAUAAGGGGCCUAGUCCUAAGAUAAGACCCCUUAAUAGCGAGACUACAAUGGAACUGGGUGAGCUGAUAGAAUGUUUUUACUGUGGAAAGAAAGGGCACAUUAAGCGGAACUGUAGGAAGAAAAUGGCGGAUGAGAAAAUGUUUAAAGCAGAAUAGGGGUGUCAGGGGCUCUUUUUGCUGGGGACCCAAAAAGGAACAGAGCCCUUGAUAAAAUUGAAAGUGGGCCCCCAGCAGCAAGAAAUUGAAUUUCUUGUCGAUUCCGGGGCAGAGCGAUCUACCACACAAGCCUUGCCCAGGGGAUGCAAAAUAUCCUCUGACACCAUGCAAGUAAUUGGGGCAAAAGGGGAGCCAUUUCGUGUUCCCGUUGUAAAGGGGGUAAUUAUCGAAACCGACUCCAAAAUAGGAGUGGGAAAUUUGCUUUUAGUUCCAGAAGCUGAAUAUAAUCUCUUGGGGCGAGAUUUAAUAAUCGAAUUGGGUAUCAAUUUAGAAGUAAUAGGGAAAGAAUUUUGGAUAAGAUUAUGUUCCCUCAAAGUGGAAGACGAGAAUAAAAUUAAUCCUGAAGUGUGGUAUACGGAGGAUUCAGUAGGGAAACUGAACAUAAUGCCCUUUAAAGUUAAAAUCUCUAGCCCAGAAAUACCCAUUCGGUUAAGACAAUAUCCAAUAUCUGAAGAAGGUCGAAGGGGGUUGAAACCAGAAAUAGAGAGAUUGUUAGAAAAAGGCUUGCUUGAACCUUGCAUGUCUCCUUUUAACACCCCCAUUUUACCUGUAAAAAAAAAAAAAAAAAAAAGGAUGGGAAAUGGAGGCUGGUACAUGACCUGAGGGAGAUAAACAAAAGGACUGUGAGUUGAUUUCCCAUAGUAACUAACCCGUAUACCCUCCUGAGUCAUAUAAGCCCGGAUGAUAAGUGGUAUAGUGUAAUAGACUUAAAGGACGCCUUUUGGGCUUGCCCAUUGGAUGAAAUUAUUUUGCCUUUGAGUGUGAGGACCCAGAUACUCAUAGAAAACAACAGUUACGCUGGACUGUACUUCCCCAGGGGUUUACGGAGUCACCUAACUUGUUCGGGCAAGCUUUAGAACAAAUUCUGCAGUGAUAUGAGCGCAGUCCAGGCAUAAAGAAAGAGCUGAUAAGUGCCCCUGUGUUGAGCUUGCCAGAUGAUACGGAAACCAUUUUAUUUAUUCACUAAUAUAGAUGCAGGGACUGCAUACGGGGUCUUGGCACAAGAAUGGGCUGGACAUAAAAAAACUGGUAGUUUAUUUAUCUAAAUUGCUAGACCCCGUUAGCAGGGGUUGGCCAACAUGCCUACAAGCAAUAGUAAUCAGCUGCAUUACUAGUAGAAGAAGCACAGAAAAUAACAUUUGGAGGAGAAUUGCAUGUUUUGACACCACAUAAUAUACGAGGGGUUUUGCAACAAAAAUCUGAUAAAUGGAUAACAGAUUCUAGGUAAUGGAUAACAGAUUCUAAGUUGUUAAAAUACGAAAGUAUGUUAAUUGAAUCCCCUAAAUUAACCCUAGAAAUUACUUCCUUGCAGAACCCUGCACAGUUCUUAUAUGGGGAAUCUAGCAAACAAUUAACACAUGAUUGUUUGCAAACAAUUGAAGAGCAAAAAUAAACAACAAAUAAGGAAACGAGUUCCCGGCGGAAGGGAACUCAUAUACCGGCCAUUCUCAAGAAUACAGAUUGAUUUUACAGAGUUGCCAAAGGUCAGACGCUACCGUUAUUUUUUGGUGCUAGUAGACCACCUUACACACUUUGUGGAGGCAUUCCCAACAGCUAGAGCUACUGUACGUACAGUAGCAAAAAUACUGUUAGAAGAAAUAAUUCCCCGAUAUGGAAUAAUUGAAGCCAUUGAUUCUGACCGGGGCCCACACUUUGCAUCAAAGAUUAUUACAGAGACCUUCCAAGCACUAGGUACCAAUUGGCAGUAUCAUACUUCAUGGCAUCCACAAAGUUCAGGAAGAGUAGAACGAAUGAAUGGAGAGAUAAAGAAACAACUCACAAAACUAAUGAUAGAAACCAAAAUGUCAUGGGUAAAGUGCUUGCCCUUAGCACUAUUAAAUGUACGAACGCAGCCGAGAACAGACCUCGGGAUCUCACCUUUCGAGAUGUUAUAUGGUAUGCCUUAUGAUUUAAAAAUACCACAGGACCACCCAGAAAUAAAGGAUUUCCAAAUAAGGAGUUAUCUAAUACAGUUAUUAAAGCGAAGAAAAUACCUUUGGGAAAAAGGGUUGGUGGUACAGAGUCCACCUCUGGACAUAAAAAUACAUACCCUAGGACCUGAAGAUAAGGUACUCAUAAAAACAUGGAAAGAAACAUCAUUAACCCCUCGAUGGGAGGGACCUUUUGUUGUUUUACUCACUACAGAAACAGCCAUCCGAACUGCCGAAAAGGGGUGGACACACGCCAGCCGAGUUAAAGGUCCAGUCAAGACUAACGCCUGGACUGCAGAGCCCACAGACGACCCUCUGAAAGUUAAACUACGGAAACAAUAAAUGGACUUGGGCUUGUUGAAUCAUACCGUGCAAGUACAAAAAAAACGAUAAAGUUGUCCCAUUUGUAAAAAUCAUAGAGUUAGAUGUAUUAAUAUAAGUUGUAAUUGUUAUCCUUUUAUAUGUUUUAGAUGCACAGUGUGCCAGGAAAAACUGGUGGUUGCAUUGCCUAGACAGUAUUCCCCUUCGAGGGACUUGUGAUCAGUGUUAUUCGAUUGAACGAGAAAUUACUGAAUUGGCAUUAGAACUUAAAGCCUUACGAGGAGAAAUUGAGGUCAAAGGCCCUAGUUGGGGGAACAAAUACUGGAACGAGUUUGUUCCCACCCUAAUGAGCCGACUCCCCUGAAAUUACAAGUGUGUUGCUGAACCACUGUAAAGGAAAUAGCGUGCCAUUCCCCCUUGGUAAAAAGCUGCAACUAGGAAACCUACAAGCGACGGUGCAGUCACCGUAAAUAUUCGGGGCCUCCUGAAGAAUAUUCUUGCUGCCGAGAAGAUGGUUUACCCCGUGGCUCGAAGCAACCGAGUCGACGGGCGAGGCAGAGGAAUAACACAAAGUGGGGGCAAAAAAAACCCGAAUGGAAUUGUGCAGCAAUGUUGGGAGAACUACCCCAGUGCUAGGCAGCACAACAAAUUGCAAAAUCAAAGCAAGCUGAACCUAGGCAAAUGCAACCCCACCUGGUAUGCUGUAUUAAUAUUAUUACUAAUGGCCAGUAAUGGGGAGUCAGCACAUAGACCAUACAAAUGGACCCUAAUUCAGGUAGAAGAGAGCCGAGUGAUUAAAGAGAAUAUUACAGUAGGAUCCCCUAGUUUUUCUGUAACCCUUUGUCAGUUAGCACCUAUACAACCAUGCUUAGAUCAAAAAGGUUAUUAUGUUUGUCCCUCUUCCAAUCCAGGGAAGAGUUACUGCAACUAUCCUAAUGAGUAUUAUUGUGCAUAUUGGGGUUGUGAGACAAUUGCUUCAGACUGGAAACCGGUUGUGCGAGAUAAGUUUUUGAAUAUAACCUGGGGGCCCAGCAGUUGCCAACCUCCUAAGCAAGCACUAAGAGUGGCCGUUGAUGAGGACCUGUUAAGGAUAGAGCAAUCUAUAAGUGCGCUAGAAAAAUCGGUAAGAUCUCUGUCUGAAGUAGUCUUACAGAACCGCCGAGGUUUGGACCUACUAUUUCUUAAGGAAGGAGGACUUUGUGCGGCUUUAAGGGAAGAGUCUUGUAUAUAUGCCGAUCACACAGGACUAGUAAGAGACACAAUGAAUAAACUACGAGAAAAUAUAGAAAAACGAAAAAAAAGAAUAUGAAUCUCGGCAGAGCUGGUAUGAGAACUGGUUCAGACAAUCACCCUGGCUUACAACCCUCCUAUCCACUAUAGCAGGACCACUGAUUCUUUUAAUCCUAGUAUUAACAUUCGGACCUUGUAUCUUAAAUAAAGUAAUACCGAUCGUGAAAGGCAGAAUAGAAGCUGCUCACUUGAUGUUGAUUGAGGCAAAAUAUGAGAAAUUGCAUGAUCAAAACGACACUGAAUUAUUAGUAUUAAGUGGUCAAGAGUUGCAACGCUUUAACGAACAAAAUGAGUAAAAAAAAAAGGGGGGGAGUUGCAACAAGUAGUUCUGAGAAAUGUUUGUUCAUUAAAGCUCCUGGAGAUGUUUGAGUUCUGAGAAGUGUUUGUAUGCUUACUUGCUUUGUCCUGCUUGAUGUAUUUACCUAACAAGGAGAUGUUUGUUUGGGUUCUUACUUGCUUUGUCCUGCUUGAUGUAUUUACCUAACAAGGAGAUGUUUGUUUGAGUUCUUACUUGCUUUGUUCUGCUUGAUGUAUUUACCUCAUAAGUAACCAAAGUAAGGCGAUCGAAACUGGCUACACAGCAGUCAACCUCACAUGAUGCAAGACACACCGUGAGAGCCUUCAACAUGAGUGAAAAGUUACACCCGGAAGCUGUGGACCAGAAAUGGACUAUAAGAACCAGAGAACUGAAUUAGCUUUGUGCGCGUGCCGCAAGGGAGACUGAGGUCUCUAGGCUGCACCCAGCGCUGUCUUUGCUUAUUGCUUGAUUAAAA